GCUCCUAGUACGAGAGGACCGGAGUGGACGCAUCACUGGUGUUCGGGUUGUCAUGCCAAUGGCACUGCCCGGUAGCUAAAUGCGGAAGAGAUAAGUGCUGAAAGCAUCUAAGCACGAAACUUGCCCCGAGAUGAGUUCUCCCUGAGACUUUAAGUCUCCUGAAGGAACGUUAAAGACGAUGACGUUGAUAGGCCGGGUGUGUAAGCGCAGCGAUGCGUUGAGCUAACCGGUACUAAUGAACCGUGAGGCUUAACCUUACAACGCCGAAG
rnacentral:rRNA from 1 species